AUGGGGGCGGCCGCCGUCGCUUCCUCCGGCCCCGGGCUGCGCUGCGCGCUUAACCCCGCCCUGAACCAGCAUAAGAAAGGCGCGCGCUUGAGCUUAGCGGCCAAGAGUCAGCAGCGCUGCGCCGUCACUUGCGGGCGCUUGCUGCUCCGCCCGAACGCUCGCGUGUGCACGGCGGCAUCGGCAUCGGCAUCGACGGUGAUGGAUAGCGGGGCUGGGGACUCCGGGGUGAGGAGGAAGAGACUCGCGGUGUUCGUGUCCGGUGGAGGCUCCAACUUCCGGUCGAUCCACGAGGCCGCCCUGGGUGGGAAGGUGAACGGGGAUGUGGUUGCGCUCGUCACUGAUAAGCCAGGCUGCGGUGGCGCGGAGUAUGCAAGGUGCAAUGGCAUGCCCGUGGUCGUGUUUCCCAAGUCGAAAUCGGCGCCGGAGGGGGUCUCGACAGAUGAACUUUUGAAUGUUCUGAGGGAUCUGAAGGUAGACUUUGUUCUACUUGCUGGUUACUUGAAGCUCAUACCUGGUGAGCUAGUUAAGGCAUUUCCCAGAUCCAUGCUGAAUAUACAUCCUUCACUGCUCCCGGCAUUUGGAGGCAAGGGUUAUUAUGGUUUAAAAGUGCAUAAAGCAGUCAUUGCAUCUGGAGCCAGAUACUCAGGACCAACUGUGCACUUUGUGGAUGAGCAGUUCGACACUGGGAAAACCUUGGCCCAAAGAGUUGUGCCAGUGUUAGCCAAUGAUACUCCAGAGCAAUUGGCUGCAAGGGUUCUUCACGAGGAGCACCAAGUUUACGUUGAGGCAGUUGCUGCCUUGUGUGAGGAUCGAAUUGUGUGGCGAGACGAUGGUGUCCCACUUAUCAGAAGUCAGACAAACCCCAAUGCGUAUACCUAA
rnacentral:rRNA from 1 species